GAUGAACGCUAGCUACAGGCUUAACACAUGCAAGUCGAGGGGCAGCAUGGUCUUAGCUUGCUAAGGCCGAUGGCGACCGGCGCACGGGUGAGUAACACGUAUCCAACCUGCCGUCUACUCUUGGACAGCCUUCUGAAAGGAAGAUUAAUACAAGAUGGCAUCAUGAGUCCGCAUGUUCACAUGAUUAACGGUAUUCCGGUAGACGAUGGGGAUGCGUUCCAUUAGAUAGUAGGCGGGGUAACGGCCCACCUAGUCUUCGAUGGAUAGGGGUUCUGAGAGGAAGGUCCCCCACAUUGGAACUGAGACACGGUCCAAACUCCUACGGGAGGAAGCAGUGAGGAAUAUUGGUCAAUGGGCGCAGGCCUGAACCAGCCAAGUAGCGUGAAGGAUGACUGCCCUAUGGGUUGUAAACUUCUUUUAUAAAGGAAUAAAGUCGGGUAUGUAUACCCGUUUGCAUGUACUUUAUGAAUAAGGAUCGGCUAACUCCGUG
rnacentral:rRNA from 1 species